AUUGAACGCUGGCGGCAGGCCUAACACAUGCAAGUCGAGCGGAUGAAGGGAGCUUGCUCCUGGAUUCAGCGGCGGACGGGUGAGUAAUGCCUAGGAAUCUGCCCGGUCGUGGGGGAUAACGUCCGGAAACGGGCGCUAAUACCGCAUACGUCCUGAGGGAGAAAGUGGGGGAUCUUCGGACCUCACGCUAUCAGAUGAGCCUAGGUCGGAUUAGCUAGUUGGUGGGGUAAAGGCCUACCAAGGCGACGAUCCGUAACUGGUCGGAGAGGAUGAUCAGUCACACUGGAACUGAGACACGGUCCAGACGCCUACGGGAGGCAGCAGUGGGGAAUAUUGGACAAUGGGCGAAAGCCUGAUCCAGCCAGGCCGAGUGUGUGAAGAAGGUCUUCGGAUUGUAAAGCACUUUAAGUUGGGAGGAAGGGCAGUAAGUUAAUACCUUGCUGUUUUGACGUUACCAACAGAAUAAGCACCGGCUAACUUCGUG
rnacentral:rRNA from 1 species